UUUUUUAUAAUUUUUUUCUUGCAUAAAAGUUUUUAAAAAUAAAUUUGAUUUUUUUUUUGAAAAACUCAUUAGAGAAUAAUAUUAUAUUUUUCAUAAAUUUUAAAUAAUAUAAUAUUAUAUUUGAGUGUUAAAUUAGUAUUAUGAUAUCUUAUAAUUUUUUAGUUUAUAUGAACCAAACAAUGGAAUAGGAAUAACUCAUUCCAAUUCCCAAUCCACAAAUGAACCAAACGUCUUCGGGGAGUGGACUAUUCCAAUUGCCAUUCCAAUUCAUUCCCAUUCCAUUAUAUAUCCAUUCCAAUUCCAUCCUUGAACCAAACAAGUCCUAAGUGUAAGGAAAUGAGUCGAUGGAUGACAAUAGUCAUAUGCUAAUACAAAUUACCUAAAUUAUUCGAUAAAUAACUAAUUUCGAUAGUUUUAAUAAAGAACAUCUUUUUCAUUUAAUUUACGAACCCGCAACCAU
rnacentral:lncRNA from 1 species